UCUAAUCAAAUAUAAGGAAAUGGUGUUUUUAUAUUUCUAAAUACGAGAUUCACCGGCACAUAUCUCCUUACAUGGGCACUGUGCGUCAUGGCUGGAUAGGCUGUGCUUCCGCUCUCAAAUUCAUAAUACUGCCCCAGAAAUUAUGUAAGCAGCAGAUGAUUACACCAUCUUCCAGACAGUCAAGGAACAGGGUCAUCUACUCCACCAACACCACAGCCAGCUGGCUCUACUGGGUAGGACCAUGAAGGAGGUCCUCUGCAUUCUCCACCACCUCAACACCACCAGCGAGGUUCUCUAUACCUCUGACGGAAGGCCUCCUACCACGGGUAGUCACUGUAAGCCAGCCCCCCAGUCUACCCAGCCGUCCCCCAGAGGACCUGAGCCCUAGGACCAUGCGUCAGGACUACCUGGCAUGAUGACUCCUUGCUGUCCCCAGUCCACCUGGCCUUGCCGCUGUUCUAGUUUCAACUGUUCUGCCUGCGGCUAUGGAACCCUAAACUGUUCAUUUUUACUCUUGAUGUGCUGUCCUGUUGCACCCUCUACAACCACUGUGAUCUCCACCCGGCACAGCCAGAAGAGGACUGGCCACCCCUCAUAGCCUGGUUCCUCUCUAGGUUUCUGCCUUUCUAGGGAGUUUUUCCUAGCCACCGUGUUUCUACACCUGCAUUGCUUGCUGUUUGGGGUUUUAGGCUGGGGCUAUAUAAAUUGAUUUGAUUUGAUAGAGGACUGAGGGUCUUCCAAAUAUUGAACGUGUGUAAAUAGUUACCCAUGUUAUUUUGUAAAUGUAUAUAUAUUUUUUAAUCAAUAAUUAAUUUUUUUUCAUUAUUCUUUUUUUUCCAUUUUAUUUCCUCAAUUUUUUUGUAGGGGGGUGUGUUAGAAUACAAUUUUGGUAUUUUGUAUAUAGUUAUUUGUUUCAAAAUGUAUACCUUCACCAAUUUGGCCACUUGGGUACAUUUGGGCUACUUGUGUGGGACACCUGGGUGACUUCAUGAUAAAUGUUAUGUAGCACACUCAUUUUGGAAGUUAUUAUUCUGAAACUUUGCACAAGUACCGUUGCCCUCUUAUAUUUUUCACUGAAAUUGUCCCCAUCAUCCUAUCUGAAUGUUUGUUUUAUCUUGUUCAUUUUAAAGAUGAUGAUAUAAAAA
ensembl:lncRNA